ensembl:lncRNA
GGGCUCCCCACGCCGCAGCCGCCGCCCCGGGCGGAGGGCACGGCGGUUCCCACGCUCCGGCCUGGGCCGGGGGCGUUCUUGGGAUGGCGUGGCCGCGCUCUCCACCGCCGCGGAGGCCAGGCUGUAAUUAGGAUGAGUAAAGGGAGGCACAAAGAGAUUAAGUAACUUGCCCAAGAUCCUGCAGUAGUAAGCGGUUGGCUGGAUUGAUGGGACCAGAAUAUGGGCCGUGACCACAGCGAGGAUGGAGAGAAGAGGUCAAGACCUGGAACCUGGCCAACUUAGAGCGUGGACUUUUCACUGUGAGCUCUCAGGGAAGCUCCCAGGUAAAGUGCACCACGCUUUGAGCAGGCCUGAUGAAGAGGAUGAAUCUGGAGCCUCACAGGGCAGCCUUGGAGCCCAUCUGCUCCAGGAUGGAGGUAUGGAGAGGCAACACAGUGUUCCUCGAACUCCAGGAGAUGAGGAUGUAGAAAUACCCAGGGAGACUGUGGACCAGAGAGAGCCACGGUCAGAAAAGCAGGAGCUGUGGCCAGGAGCAGUCGUGGGUAGUGGAUAUCAGGGGACCAGCCCAGAGGACAGGUG